UGGCGGGUCCAGGCCCCGCCCCAUGAGAUUUGCAUGCCUGUUUUCUAUCUGUCGUUAUAACAGGUAAUUGGAUCCAGGUGUAUGGGUGAUUGGCUGGGCUACAAAAGCCCUACUCAGAUGGAAGUCGGGAGAGCGUUGGAUUGGUCGUUGGAUUUUGGUUAUCGUUGGAUUUGGAUAGUGAAUUGGAUUUGGGAUUGUUGUUGUCGUUGUCUUUGGAUUAUCGUCGUUUGUUUAUAUUACCAGUUAAUUGACUUUACAGUACAUCUUUUGUUUCUCUUCACAACACUGAUCUUCACCACACGUUUGCUAUAAUUAUUAGAUAAUUAUAUAAACUUGUAAAAUCAUUAAGAAAUAUAUUAUUAUUACUAUAAAUAUCCUAAAUUCUGCGUGGCCUCCCCUUCUUGUUUCGUGUCGUGAGCUGGCGCGUAACACGUGGGGGCUCGCCGAGAUUUUUUCCGGGAAUCGGGUAAGACAACUUUUUCAUCCACUCAUUGGGGAAUAGUGGUGGUAAAGCUGUAUUGAUCGUAUAGAUCGGGAUAUUGGCCUUUGAUACUGACGGGCACAAAACUGCCGGUGCAGCAGCAAGGGGAUUGCAAAUUGGGGGAGACGCACGCGGAAAUUUGUAAGGUUAAACUUUUGUUGUUUUCGUUGGGUUGCCGUGGAGGAGGAAAGUCAUUUUUAAGAGUGACUGCAGCUGUGGGCUCUCGUUGGGAGAGAGACGGGCUGUGCAUACUAGUUCAAUUGGGUACAGGUGUUGGUAACUGGGUGGUGAUAGUAGGUGAGUACCUACUGAGCAAACGCAAAACCCCGCGCAGGUUAAGAGCGCUUACCGCUGUUUGUUGUUUUGGCCGGGCUUGUAAGAGUUUGUUGUUUUUCGUGGGUGUGUCGGACGCGCUGGAGUUGGUUAGCAGCUCAAUUGCAGGUGGACACACUGAAGAAAUAGGCACUGGAAAUAGCGAGGACUGUGUGUUGGAGAUAGAUCGGGGAAGCUCUAGUCUAGUGGGUUUUGG
ensembl:lncRNA